rnacentral:pre_miRNA from 1 species
AGCCUUCUGAAUUUGUGCCUAGAUUUCUUAAGAUACCAAAUCAUCAUGACUGAAGAAACUCCCAAGAUAAGUGAAACG